rnacentral:tRNA from 1 species
GGAAAUGUGCCUGAAUUAAAAGGACCACUAUGAUAAAGUGGACAUAGAGGUAUACCAACCCUCUCAUUUCCU